GACUUGGUAAGAACCGCACCACUUGGAGAGUGGCUUGUAUUCUGCCGGCUUCGGAAACAGGAGGAAAGCAAGGCUGGCAGAGAUACCCAUUCCAUUCCAGCAGGCUGAGUAGCAACAUGGGUAGGCUCUGGGCAGGA
rnacentral:snoRNA from 1 species